GUAAGGAAUAUUGGGCAAUGGAGGCAACUCUGACGCAGCCAUGCCGCGUGCAGGAAGAAGGCGCUACGCGUUGUAAACUGCUUUUAACCGGGAAGAAACCCCAGGACGUGUCCUGGGUUGACGGUACCGGAGGAAUAAGCACCGGCUAACUUCGUGCCAGCAGCCGCGGUAAUACGAAGGGUGCAAGCGUUAUCCGGAUUCAUUGGGUUUAAAGGGUGCGUAGGCGGAUCGUUAAGUCAGUGGUGAAAUCCUGCAGCUUAACUGUAGACUUUCCAUUAGUACUGGCGCUCUUGAGUGCGCUUGAAGUGGGCGGAAUGUGCCGUGUAGCGGUGAAAUGCUUAGAUAUGGCACAGAACACCAAUUGCGAAGGCAGCUCACUAAGGCGAUACUGACGCUGAGGCACGAAAGCGUGGGGAUCGAACAGGAUUAGAAACCCUAGUAGUCC
rnacentral:rRNA from 1 species